AAGAUAUAGAGUCAAUAUCACCCUCCGAUUGCUGGAAAUUGACCUCCUUAAUCUGUCGCAAUGUAAAGAUUAGAGGUCAAUUU
rnacentral:ncRNA from 1 species